GAGUAAUGACAGUUACUUUUGGAUUUCCUCAGUGCUUGCCUACUGUACUGAUCUGAUUUCUGGCACCUAAAGAUUUUGCCUUUACUCCACUUACCUAAGUCUAGGGAGCUUAGGCAUCGUUCAAAGGAGACAAGGGCACAGGAGCCCUGCUGUAGUUAACAAUUAAAACUGUGCAGGAGUACGAUGACUGAACCGAUAUUUUCAAGAUUAUAAAGAGAAGUGAUAAAGUUGUUCCAGACAAUCUGUUUGCCAGAUAAGGAACUCCAGU